GGGUGGAAAGUCUCAUACAGAGGAGCAAACAGGUUCCUCCAGGGUAAGUUCUCAAAGGGGUUCUUAGGAGAUAGCACUUAACUUGAUGUACAGUAAGAAAGGGUAAAAUAAAUAAAGGCCGAGAGGAGGGACUUCACAGAAACAAAAAUUUAGCUGGACUGAGCUUCACUUAGGAAAGAAGAAAGAAGAUUAAAGAAGAGAGAGAGAGAGAGAGAGAGAGAGAGAGAGAGACCAAACUACUGAGAAAUUUAAACACCAAAAGGAGUUUGAAUUUUUUUUUCAUUUUUAUAGGUUUAUUUAUUGUGGUAAGAAGUGAAUGUGUUGGGUACUUUGUUUUUUGGUUCUGUGGGGGGUUUUUGUUUGUUUUUAUUUUCAUUUUGUUUUGUUUUGUUUUAAUCAAGUUUUCUCUGUGUAGCCCUGGCUGUCCUGGAACUCACUCUGUAAACCACAAUGGCCUUGAACUCAGAGAUCCUUCUGAGUGCUGAGAAUAAUGGUAUGCACCACCACUGCGCCUCAGAGGUGCUAGUGUAUUUAAAUACAGAAAAUAUACCCAAGGUAUAAUGAGGACAUGAAAAUUCCAAAUAAACCACCACAAACUGGAAGAAAAAAAUGUUCAAACAAGAAGGUAUUUCUAGGGAAGAGGGGAAAGCCAUAAGCAAUGCUCAAAUAAAACCAAACCAAGUUAUAUAAAAAGUUAGCAUCCUACUUUUGCAACUACAUUUAAGUUUUAACUGAUUUUAUAAAAGCAAUAUAAAUAAAACUACAUGUAAUGGCUCUCACUGAAUCAAUUACACAUAAAUCAAUUUACCUCAAACAAUGUACAUCUGAAUUAAUGUUCAUACUCAGACUUACUUUAAUUGUUUGUUUGUUUAUGGUUGGGGGGGGGAAGGUUUUCUCAGUGUAACCCUGUCAUGGAACUCACUAUGUAGACCAGUAUGGCCUAGAACUCAAGAGACCCACCUGCCUCUGCUACCUGAGUGCUAGGGUUAAAAGCAUUCACCAUUCACCACCUUGCCUGGUUUAAUCCUCAGACCUUAAAAGUGAUAUGCCACAAUCCGUAUUAGUACAUAGUUAUGGAUCAAGGCCAUUAGUUUGAAAUAUAUUACCAUGAGUUGUAAGUUCUUCAUACAACCUCAAGAGUAAAUAAAUGGAUGCCCCAAGGCUCAACGGCACUAACAAAAGGUUGUUAAAACAGCAACCAGAAAAAACCUCCCAUGGCGUUCAAAUAACAUCCUCCCCCCAAAAAAGUAAAACGUCUCAUUACUGCCCUACCUUUUAACCUCUCACAACCCCCCCCCAAUGAAAAAGUUACAAAAAUUUAAUGAGACUAUUUUAAGAGCCUCCAAAUCAAGAGAGUGGCUUCCAAAUAUACUUUCGAAAUACCUCAUUUAAUUAAAAUAAUAUUUAACAGGAUCCAGCUUUACUUUUCCCAAGCAUAGUUCAGUGGACUUUCUAAUGGCCUCUGUCACAAAGAUCCUCGGGUCUCCCCUGUUUUCUCUAUAUAAGCCAAGUCACCCAUUUUUGAUCAACAGAGGUACCAUGCAUGUAGCAAAAGUUGGUAGGGAGUCGACUGAAAGAGACUGCGGGGUACAGGAGCCACUCAUUAUAUAACACUUCCAAGUAUUUGUACAUCACGUUUAUUAACACCAUCACAGGUCAACUAUACAGAGACCAAACAUUGCAAGCAGUGGAAAGAACUUAUAAAAAUUGACUUAGUGGGUAACCGAAAGGGGAAAUCGAGGGGUUGAGAUACAAAAUUCUAAGCAAGGUGGUUUCAAAACCAGCGUCUCCAAGAUAAUGGGCGGGUUCAAACUUCUUGCUUAACGUAAACUGCCUCUCCCCGGCGCUAACAGCAAGUAUUACAGCUCUUUUGUCUGUGCAAUGACCAGCCAAAUUAGAGCAGAAAACCAAAACAAAACAAGAAAACCCACAAGGUAGGUGCACAGAGCGAUCGUUACCGGGAGCGGAGUUCCAGCUGCCCAUGGCCACCAGACAUCAACUUUCACCCUGAUUUGCUUUAGGCAACCGGAGGCCAACGUAUGAGGGGAGAGAAAGUGGACAAGGGACCAAAACACAAGUUUGGGGACCAGCACCAACUUAGAGCGACAAAUCCGGGUGUUUAUGGCCUACUAAGAGGUGGGAAUAAGACCCACACACUCGGACUCGGGAGGGAUCCCAGUUGCCGGAAUGAGGCGGGCAGAAGGGCAGCGCCAGCCGCUGACGAAGGCGGCCAACUGAGGUCGGUAAACAAGCCGGGCGGCCACUCUCCCUCAUCCUCCGGGUUGUCCCCGCGCUGGGAAGCCCAAGAUGGACGCGCGGCCGCGGACAACCCCGGGCCUGCGAUGCGCUAUCCCGCAACGCUGCCGCCCGGAGGCUCGGCAGCCUGCUCCCCGCGACGCCCCGUCAGGCCGCGGUCGACCCGCGAGGGGCCUGCGGCGCGGCGCCCCCAACCCAGGCCCGGUUACCUGGCGGCCGCGGAUCCUCCUCCUCCCCGUCUGACGCGCGGCGCCCGGCGGCCGCGGCGGCGGCGGCGACUCCCGCACGGCCAGCGGCGACGAGCCGAGCCCGGCCCCUCUCCGCCUCCCUCGGCGCCGCCGCCCACCCCGCUGCUGCCGCCUCCGCCCUCCCGCCUCAGUCAGGACAUGUUCUCCGCGGGCCCGCGCGCGGCUCCCAGCGGCCCGAGGGGCGGAGAGGCUGCGCGGAGGCGGGGGCCGAGGCUCGGGGACAGGGGCGGAGCGGUCUGGGGACAGCCUCGGGCGCAGAGGACUCCGAAUGGCGGCGGUCAGGACCCUAGAGCUAAAUAAACCCCGCGGCGGCCGCACAACGUCAGGAACUGGACCUCGCUGCUCACCGUCCUGUGAUUGGUCCCGAGGCCUCAGGAGGCGCAGCCAAUAGGCGACCGCCUCUUUCCCGGCGCAGGAGCGGGCCGCGGCCGUGACGUCAGCAGCGUGCGUCCUGAUUGUGAGGCUACGGCGCGCGCGGUCCCGCGACGCGUCCUCCCGGCUGGUGGGAAGCUGUGUUUACCUGCGGUUUGGUCUAAAGAGAACAUAUUCUAAAGCAUGAGUAGAAUUGUUGGCGGUAGAGAUGAAGCUGAAGAGAAGGAAGACCAGGUCUGGCACGCCGAGGAUGCGGGUGAGCUGCUUGUGGAUGACCUGUUCCCUGUAGGACAUCUGCUGCUGGGUGUUUCGCCGGAACCUGUACCAUCCGAUAACUUUCUGCAACAAAACCAGACGACAGCAAAGUAUUAAGAGCUCACUUAACUCAGAAUGCGUCCAAAUGAGCCCUGUAAACAAAUGUUCGUGACCACUCUACGCUGGCGAGCCCAGAACUACGAACAGCCUUUCUGUCAAUAAGUGAAUGGAUAACCUGGGUACUGGAAUCAUAUACAGUAAUAAAGAACAAAUCACCAUGGAGGCAUCGCAAAAUAA